AAAAACAAAAACAAACAAAAUAAAAUUAUAGGAAAAAUAUAACAACUACAUAAGUAUAGUUUAAUUUUAUCCUAAACCUCUAUCCAUCAUUUCUUACAGAUAGUACAGGGUGAGGGUUCACAAAAUAGGGAACCAGGGGUGGAUACAGCCAUUUUGAAAAGGGGUUCCCUACCCAGGAUAAAGGGGGGUUCCAACUAAAUGUCCCCUUUCAAAUGCAUUGAUUGUCCAUAAAAAGGGGAGAUUCCAAUCCCGGAACCCUAUCCCUGGAUCCGCCACUGGGAACUAUGGCUAAAAGUAUAAAAAAAAAUUGGAGAACUAUGACUAAAGGAACAAAGAAUAGAGAAAAUUGACUGUAAUAAGGAAUAGAGCAAAUGACAUGCUAGUCAAAAUAAUAUGACGUCUGACAAGGCUAUUUUAUUUUUUAUCUGGGACGCCUUCCUACGCAUCCCAGAAAAAAAUUAUAAAAUAUCCUAGCCAGACGUCAUAAUAUUAUUUGAACUAUUGAUGUGCUAAUUUUAUAUAUUGAGAAAAGAGAAAUGAUGGACAAAAAGUAUAAAAAAAAUAGAGACAAAUGAGCGUAAAGAAUAAAUGAUAAAGUAAUGGAAAACACCCCAUCCAGACCCUUGUUUAUCUGAACAACAGAACUAUUAUUUUUGCUGAAUAGUGCAUAUAGGCAUUUCCCAUUUGAAUGGUUUUACAGUAGUAAUUUUAGGGCCCUUUUUAGCUUGUUGUUCGGUGUGAGCCAAGGCUCCGUGUUGAAGGCCGUACAUUGACCUAUAAUGGUUUACUUUUAUAAUUUGUUAUUUGGAUGGAGAGUUGUCUCAUUGGCACUAACACCACAUCUUCCUAUAUCUAUGUAAAAUAUCUUUUAAAGAUUUCAGGUAUAUGAAAUAUUAACCAGUAGGACAGUAUAAAUUCUGUCCCUCCUUCC
rnacentral:lncRNA from 1 species